UGCGCAGCAACUCCUAUCACUACCUCCAAGUGGCACCGGCCGGACUGCGGGCAUCUUUAGGGAAGAUCGGGUAACCACCCUCGGUGGCAACUUUGGUCGUAGGCUGACAGGGAAAG
rnacentral:ribozyme from 1 species